rnacentral:tRNA from 14 species
GUGGAUGUAGCCUAGUUGGUUAGGGCGUCAGUUUGUGGCACUGAAGAUCGAGAGUUCGAAUCUCUUCAUCCACCCCA